GUUUUUAUCCGUAGUGGGGGUAUUCGUGGAACCAUGACAAAUUCCCAGUUGUCUAGAAAGCAGUUGUCAUGAAUCCAGAGAAUGCCAGACUUUGAUGACAAAGUUUCCAAGAUAUGCCCACAAGAAGGACUGCCGCACCACCUUCCUGUUCAAGUGAGCACAGUACAACGAGCAGAGGAAGUCCCACUGUUCUCGAGCGCAUGAAGGCAAUAAAUUAAACCUGAACUAAAGGAUGCAUCCUCUGAGAGGGAGUUACUCAACAAUCUUUCUCAGAAAACCCAAUACAACCUCUUGGCACUAGUUUCUGUGUGUUGCAAUGUGUCAUUAUACUGUGUA
ensembl:lncRNA